UCAAACGCAACGGCUCGGUGCGCGGGCCGCCCCGGGUUCGGUGCCCAAGGCCCCGCGGCGGGGUGGGGGUGGGGGCCCGGAGGACCCUUGCUGCUGUUGGAAGUCGAGGGCCCCGCGCCCCCGCCUGGCCCCGCCGCUCCGUAUGAAAACUCCGCGCCUGCCUGGGCCCUUGGCCCUGGGUCGCCUCAUUUUACCCCAAACGGCCACUAUGUUGGGAGCUUACCGUGUGCCUAGCGCUGGGCUUUCUGUGUCAUAUGCAACCUAACAAGCUUGUGAAGUUAGCACCACUGUGCCGCGGGGCCGGAAACCCAGUCUCCGAGUCAGAAAGGGGGUUUCACCCAGUAAAGGGAGAACCAGAUGACUGGAAAGAAGAACGGAUGGGAACAGACCAGAGCUGGGUUGAACCCGGACCCUGCCACCACCUAGAUGUGUCACGCCAGCCAAUUUUUUGACGUCUCCCAUGCUCCCUCCUUCAUUUCCCAGUAGUGACUGAGCACCUCCUGCUGAGCGUCCAGGCAGGUGGCUGUGUUCCUCCAGCACGUAUAGAUCUGUGUGCCCAGCACACGAAAUGGAGUCUAUCACCACUGAGCACUUCACUUCAAGCUCUGGAAAAGGGCAGGGACCAGGCCUGUCUUCAGCACCUUGAGCGAAGCAGGGAAUCCUCAGGAAGAAGCAAAUCUCUCUCUCUAGUCUCCAGCCCAAACCUCCACUUACCCGGCUUCCAUCACUGACACUAACAUGGACAGGAUGGAGAGCUCAUCCAGGUUGGGCGUGGCCUGCACUCUGUGAAGACCUUCAUAGGCGCGAAACCGGCUUCCUCCUGUAGGCCCUAUCCCUCAUCUAACAUUUUAAACACACCCACCUCUCACCACAAAUAUAACUUUUUGGCUGUAAAACAAUUUGAAAGGCUUUUUGCCAUUUUGCUUUUGAAAAUUUUUGGCCAUGAGUAAUUUAUUUCUUUUAUGGUUGGCUAUGAUUUCUUACCCAUCUUGGUGCCUACCUGGGAAAUCUUGCGCAGUGAGAGAAGUCCAACCGGCAAACUGUUAUCAAAUGAGAUGAAAUUUUUAUGACUACUAAAUUCAACAGUUAAUGAAGUUGACAUAAUGUUACAUUUUGCAUUUAAUUGAAUAUUUACUGAUUUUAAUGUUGCAGUUUUCUACUUGGUAUUGUGGAGCUAAUAAAAACAUUCUUAGGCUUCAAAUUUUCUUGUAGGCUCUUUUGAAAAACCACAGAGAAACCCCUUUUCUUACCAGGCCAAUGAUGCCUGAAUGGGUCAAGCUGCCCAGAGGGGGGCCCAUGCAUAGGGAGCUCCCAGGUAAAUUUCUUGAGCCAUGUAUCACAGGGACAAGCCUCCCCUGGAUAUUGUCUCAGCAACUGAACCUGGCCACAGAGUAGCCAGCCAUUUCUAGGACUUUGAAAAGGACACCAGAAUGCUCUAGAAGCAAUGCUAUGACGCUGUGACUUCUCUCUCCCAGCAACAUCAUCAGCAAUCCUCACCAUUGCCCAGGGAAUAUCAGCCCUUAUUCUUGCCUCCAUUCUUCGCCCACAUGUGAGGAGAUUGUUGAGAGCUUAGGCUGUGGUAGCCAACAUACUUGAAUUUGAAUUCCUGCUCUGCUACUUACUGUGGAGUGGCUUUACACAUGCUUAACUUCUCUGGCAUUUUAUCUUUCAUCUGCAAAGUGGUUAAAACAAUAGACAGGUUGGGAGGGGGCGAGGUUCAAACAGGAAAACACAAAGUCUCUCAGCACAGUGCCAGGCUUAUUGUGUGCCCACAGUAAAAGAUACCGAUUAUUAUUAUUAUUAUCAGCUAUUACAGUGAAAAUGGUAGCUUAUGGGAUCUCCAUUUAAAGCUAGGAACAAGGAAGGAAUGGAGGAAAUGGAGGAAAAGAAUACGACUUGGUAGUGGUGGGAAAGUAAGGUAGCAAAAAAGUCAGAAUGCAUUUGGCCUUUUGCUUCCUGCUCUGGCUUUCCCGCCAGACUCAUCAUGACAGGUACCCCAAGAAUUUCUGGGGAGGCUUUAUGUGGGAUCCUUCUCAGCUACGAGCUUGGUGUUCUGCCCUCCCUUUCGUAACUUCCGGGCCAGGAUGUUGGUCACCAAUAUGCAUUCGUUUAAGAUUUGGACUAGCUGAGUGCUGAGAUGAUUUGAGGCAGCUUUCAGAUUAAAAAGUAAAAAUUACAGCAUUGAAGAAUAAAGCAAGAACUGACUCCAUCUAAAGAAACCAGAAAGAGUUGCUACUCUCAGGCACCUGAAUUGGUCAGAACCACGGAGGUAAUAAGGUAAUAAAACUGAGUUUCCUUAUUUGUCAGCUAAAGCAAAAAUGGAAACACGUCGGAAGGCAGAGUUUUUAUUUUCUGACAGCAGAAAAUACACAUCUUCAUCUGUGGAGACAAAAUGUUUCCUGGAAAUAACCCCAAGCAUGAAUUUAUCAUGAGUCCUUGUGUAAAGGACACUGAGUGACAUAGUGGGCAAUAUAUUCAAUUCUGUUUUCAUAAAGACAGAAAUGCCAUUAA